AUUAUACUCCCUCCGUUCGAAAUUACUUGUCUUAAAAAUGGAUGUAUCUAGAACUAAAAUAUAUCUAGAUACAUCCAUUUUCGCGACAAGUAAUUCCGAACGAAGGGAGUAGGUC
rnacentral:pre_miRNA from 1 species